rnacentral:rRNA from 1 species
AAGCGUUGUUCGGAAUUAUUGGGCGUAAAGCGCGUGUAGGCGGUCCGAUUAGUCUGAUGUGAAAGCCCUGGGCUCAACCCGGGAAGUGCAUUGGAAACUGGGAAACUUGAAUACGGGAGAGGGUAGUGGAAUUCCUGGUGUAGGAGUGAAAUCCGUAGAUAUCAGGAGGAACACCGGUGGCGAAGGCGGCUGCCUGGACCGAUAUUGACGCUGAGACGCGAAAGCGUGGGGAGCAAACAGGAUUAGAUACCCUGGUAGUCCACGCCGUAAACGAUGAGUACUAGGUGUUGCGGGUAUUGACCCCUGCAGUGCC